GGCCUCGUAGCUCAGCCGGUGGAGCAUUCGCAGUACUAAAGCGAGGUUGGCAACCACGCGUGGGUUCGAAUCCCACCGGGGUCG
rnacentral:tRNA from 1 species